rnacentral:rRNA from 1 species
UGAGGAAUAUUGGUCAAUGGGCUUACGCCUGAACCAGCCAAGUCGCGUGAGGGAAGACUGCCCUAUGGGUUGUAAACCUCUUUUGUCAGGGAGCAACAACAUCUACGAGUAGGUGUUACGAGAGUACCUGAAGAAAAAG